GACGAACGCUGGCGGCGUGCCUAAUACAUGCAAGUUGAGCGCUGAAGGUUGGUACUUGUACCAACUGGAUGAGCAGCGAACGGGUGAGUAACGCGUGGGGAAUCUGCCUUUGAGCGGGGGACAACAUUUGGAAACGAAUGCUAAUACCGCAUAAAAACUUUAAACACAAGUUUUAAGUUUGAAAGAUGCAAUUGCAUCACUCAAAGAUGAUCCCGCGUUGUAUUAGCUAGUUGGUGAGGUAAAGGCUCACCAAGGCGAUGAUACAUAGCCGACCUGAGAGGGUGAUCGGCCACAUUGGGACUGAGACAUGGCCCAAACUCCUACGGGAGGCAGCAGUAGGGAAUCUUCGGCAAUGGACGAAAGUCUGACCGAGCAACGCCGCGUGAGUGAAGAAAGUUUUCGGAUCGUAAAACUCUGUUGGUAGAGAAGAACGUUGGUGAGAGUGGAAAGCUCAUCAAGUGACGGUAACUACCCAGAAAGGGACGGCUAACUACGUG
rnacentral:rRNA from 1 species